rnacentral:rRNA from 1 species
GUCUUCUUGUUAUAUUUAGGAAGUCUGGCCUGCCCAGUGAAAAUAAUUUAACGGCCGCGGUAUACUGACCGUGCAAAGGUAGCAUAAUCAUUAGUCUUUUAAUAGAGGGCUGGUAUGAAGGGUUUAACGAGGUGUUGACUGUCUCAUUUAAUUUGAAUUUAGAAUUUAAUUUUUUAGUUAAAAAGCUGAAAUAUUAUUGGAAGACGAGAAGACCCUAUAGAGCUUUAUAUUUUUAUUAAUAAUUUAUUAUAGAUUAUUAUUAUUAUUUAUUAUUAUUAUAAAAUAUUUUGUUGGGGUGACAAAAAUAUAUAAUUAACUUUUUUAUUUAUUUUACAUUGAUAUAUGAAUAUUAGAUCCAAUCUUAUUGAUUGUUAGAUUAAGUUACCUUAGGGAUAACAGCGUAAUCCCUCUCCAGAGUUCAUAUUUACAGAGGGGCUUGCGACCUCGAUGUUGGAUUAAGAUAAUAAUUAGGUGCAGCCGCUUAAUUAAUAGGUCUGUUCGACCUUUAAAUUCUU